GGCAGGAGGGCGCCGCGCCCACUGGCCUCUCACGCCACGUGCGCGAGGAGCAGGCGUCGAGCGGCGGUGUCCGCCCCGCCCGGGCCGCUCCUCGCCGCCGACAGAGCGCGCGUGGAGCGGCACCCGCCUGCGCCGAGGGUGGAGAAGGGCCUCCGGGAACCCUCCUCGCGUGCUCUGCGGCUGGCGCCUCGGGCCUGGCGCAGCCGGCGGAGAGCCGGGCCGUCCCGCGCUGCGGCCGCCACCUGCUGGCGACGCCGACGGCCCCAGAGAGCUCCUGGGCCGGGCGCGCGGGUCUUUGUGCGCACGCGCAGCGACGUCGCCCGCUGAGGGGCCGCGCGGGCACCAGCGGUUGACUUUGCCUUUACUGGUCUGACCGGCUCGAAGGCGCGGAGCUUGCUGCUUGCGGUUUCGGCCAGACUGGGUGGCCAGCCUCGGGCUACGCAGGCGGAGAAAACGCGAGGAGGAGCUGAGGUGUCCACGGACCCGGAAGGCUCUACCCGAAAGAGGCUUUCGGCUUGAGCGGCAGGAUGGGGGCCACCUCCUCUGCCCCUGCCCCUUCCAGGGCGACCCAACCUCCCAUGCCUGAGACAGGCCGCAGCGCCUACGUACCCGGCGGAUAUGCUGUCCACAGGAAAGAGCUGGGAGUGCUCCACGAAGCUGUCUUCUUGGGUGAGCUCCAGAUUGUGCAGGAGAUCGCUCCUGCUCCUGCUCUUCCUGCACCAGGGAGUUGCUGAAUGAGACAGACAAGAAGCACAGGACCUCCUGGAUCUUGGGCUCACCUUGAUGGGUUGAUGAAAGGAAAGUCUCAGUGUGGAAGUCAGAAUUCCUUCCUGGAUGGUUGAUGAUGGAAACUGAAGCUCAGUCCCAAGAUAAUGCAGCAAGAAAAGGUCAAGCAUCAGUACCCGAUUCAGAUAUAGGACUCAAGAGGAACAAUCAUGUCCCAUCCAGCCCAGGGCUGUGUAGAGUGGGGACAACAGCAGGGGAGAUAUUUCUAGCUUUGUAUUUCACUCAUUAGACACAUUUCCCUCUUGUUAGUCCAACCCUGUGCACAUCAUUUCCCUCUGGGAGGUAGCCCUGCACCAAGAGGGAUAUUUUCUCUGCAUGCUCUGUUCCCAAGACACCAGAUUAAACAUGAGGUGAAUCCUG